rnacentral:rRNA from 1 species
GCAGCCAUCAUUUAAAGAAAGCGUAAUAGCUCACUGAUCGAGUCGUCCUGCGCGGAAGAUGUACCGGGGCUAAGUCAAUAACCGAAGCUGCGGAUGCACAUUUAUGUGCGUGGUAGGGGAGCGUUCUGUACGCCUGCGAAGGUGUCUCGUAAGGGAUGCUGGAGGUAUCAGAAGUGCGAAUGCUGACAUGAGUAGCGUUAAAGGGGGUGAAAAGCCCCCUCGCCGUAAGCGCAAGGUUUCCUACGCAACGUUCAUCGGCGUAGGGUGAGUCGGCCCCUAAGGUGAGGCAGAGAUGCGUAGCUGAUGGGAAACAGGUUAAUAUUCCUGUACCGAUUACAAGUGCGAUGUGGGGACGGAGAAGGUUAGCUCAGCCAACUGUUGGAUAUGUUGGUUCAAGCCUGUAGUCAUGCCUGGUAGGCAAAUCCGCCGGGCUAAGAUGAGGGGUGAUAACGAGUGUGCUUGCACACGAAGUGAGUGAUACCCUGCUUCCAGGAAAAGCCACUAAGCUUCAGCUUGUAACGACCGUACCGCAAACCGACACUGG